UCUCAGAAGCGAAAAACAUGUUUACAUCAAAGCUAAGAUUUCAAAUACGUCAUGGUAACUUCAGACAAAGAAUUUCUCAGGAUGAAGAAGAUAUUAAUUCUGUGCUGAAUUGGUAUAAUUCAGUUAACUCAGUAUUCCUUAACCAUCUAUCAACAGGGAUCAAAACUACCAAUAGUAGUACAGUCUGGAAGUAUCUCAUCGCUUAUGUUAAUUUGCUCAGGUGCAUCGAGAAUCUAGGGAUAGCAGUUGCAUACGGCAUACGCUAUUACGGACAAGGCCGAAUUACGAAUGAUAAUUAUAUACAGUUUAUUCGUCAUAUAACAUUAGGAGAUGAAUACUUGAAGCAAUCUCAGAAUUAUGUUCCAAACAUGAGGGAUCUAUAUCAGGGUAUUCAAAGUGCAGGAGGACACUACGAGAUACUACUCAAGAGUAGAAGAGCUGUUUUGGCACAAGUUCCUCAAAAGGCAAAUACAGAUGAGGCAUUAAAAUUUUAUCAGGCUACUUAUGGUUACACAGAGGGACUUCGGGGUGCAAUACGGGAUUUAAGGUUUAGAAUUAAAGCCAUUGUCGUGGACGAACUCGUUGCAGCAAACAGACAACAAGCAAUAGGAAUAACAGUUCUGAUUUCUGUCCUGAUAAUUAGUCCGGUCAUCAUAUUUCUAGUCAGAAAUGCCACAAUGACAAUUAAAUUCUUUUCCUCGACGAUACGUAAAAAGGGAGAAGAGUUGAUUAUUGAGAGACAAAAGGCUGAAAAUUUACUAUUCGAGAUUCUUCCAAGGAAGUAUGCUCUCAAUAUUCUAAAGAAGAAAAAGAACGAAGUCCAGUUAUACGAUUCUAUUACAGUUUUAUUUUGUGAUAUAGAAGAUUUUCAUAUGAUUACCGAAGAAUAUGCAGCAGUGGAGCUCGUCUCUUAUAUCAGUUCCCUCUACCAAAUAUUAGAAAAUAGUGUUAAAAAGUACGAAGUAUUUAAAGUGGAUACCGUGAACGAUUCGGCAAUUAUCAUCUGUGGAACCGAAAAAACUGAUGGAACACUUUUUCUGAACCAUGUUUCCGAGAUUGGAACCAUGGCCCUGGAUUUAAUAGGACAGGCUUCCCUAUUUACGACGGGUAAAAAACUUAAGAUUGAAACUAAGGAUAGCCGUACACACAGGUCCGGUUUUGGUAGGAAUAUUACACAGACCUAAUCACCUACCGCAGUUCAAGCUUUACGGAAAUACUAUAGUGAUCGUUCAAAAUCUUUUACAGACGGCUGAGGCUCUCAUGAUUCACAUCAGCGCUGAGACAAACAGCCUCCUCGAAGAAUGUGGUGGUUUCCGUACAGAAACCAGAGGAGUAAAUCUUGAAUCAACAGGGGGAAUGGAAACAUUUCUUCUCAUCGAUAAAGAAGGAGGUUUU
rnacentral:misc_RNA from 1 species